GCCAGGUGUGGUGGAGCACACCUGUAAUCCCAGCAGCUUGGGAGGCUGAGGCAGAGGAUUGCGAGUUCAAAGUCAGCCUCAG
rnacentral:sRNA from 1 species